CGCCGCUCUUGCCCAGGCCUCUACUGCGGCUUCCACCUCUGCGGGAUCACAGCAGCCCAGCCCAACCCCGUCCUGCGCUACUGCUGCCUUCGCCGCUGCCACCUCCUCAGCCUCGGCCUCCGCCACCACCCAAGCAUCCUUUUGAAUGGGGGCAACUGUUUGCUGAAGUGUGAUGUGUGAAGAGGUGGAAAGAAAUGAACUCAAGCAUCUCAGAAGUUUCAAUUCAGGCAAUUCCAGUUGUGAAAGCAAUAUUUGGUCCUCCCUUAUGUCUCCUGGCAUCAUAAUUGGAAGUCAACUCUGAUUUAGCUGGCAUGUUUUCUCACUGAAAAAGAAUAAAUAAACCACAUGUUUCAUCA